rnacentral:lncRNA from 1 species
UUUAUCAUGAAUUGUACCUUCAUUGUAUCUUAAUGUCACGUAGGAGCUGGUUGGAGACUGAAUGCCCUUAAAGUAAUGUGAUGUUUGAGACAUUCUGCUGGAAUGGAGAACUGACCUUCAGGCUGAGGCAGCAUUUCCACAGUUCCUCCUGGCCCCAGUCAAUUAUGCACAGAUGGUACAAAGGGUUCAUUCAGCAGGAGAACCUCAGGCCUAGCAGCCAGUGCAAGCCCUGCAGCAGGAACAUGCAGAGAGAAAUGAGGCAGGAAGAACUGGCUCACAUGUUGCUGGAUAAUGUCUCUUGAGAAGGCCCUGGACUGCUGAGACCUCUCCCAUUGCCCAGUCUAUAGUCAGAGAGGCCCCAGUAUCCCCAUGCCGCCUACCAAAAUCUCUCUGCAUUGCAACAUUAACUUGUGCCCCAGUGCUUGCCCCCGCUAAACUUCUUGGAAGUCUUCAUCUGACAGUCUUGUGUCUUCACAGUGUUGCUAUGGAGUGAGGAUUUAAUAAGUACCAGUAAGUGACAGGAUGAAUGUCUAUUUGUUGGAUUGUACAGUGAGGGAGAUAAAGGUCUACAGUCUUCAUGUAUCUAAGAACUGUCUCUCAAUCAUCUUGAUACUGUUAGCACCCAGAGUUGUUCUUCAGUAGAUAGUGAAUAAAUGCAUUCCUCAGAGAAACAUCUUUCAACUCCUUAAAAAUGAAUUAAAUUUCAUUGUUGAAGUUGUUCAGUUAUGGUAGUCCUUUAAAGGCAAUGAAAAGAGAUUAACCCUAAAACCAAAAAGACCUGGAUUAAAAUAUCACUUCUAUGUAGAGAAUUUAGUCCCAUUGUUAGCUUAGCCCCCAGCUCAGAGUUCGACAGAGAGGGGUUGGAAGAGACCCAGAGACAUUGUCCCAUAAAAAAUGAACAUGUUGAGUAUCUUGAGAAAAUAAGCAAACCUCUCUGAGCUUCAGUUUCUUCCCUUGUAAAAUAAUUCCUGCUAUUGUCCAUGCAAGACACAUUGACUUCUGCACAGCCGGCAACAGGAGCAGCAGAAAUGCCAUUCUUACCCUGCAUCUCAGUCUCUUCCACUUUCAAAGAGUAAGUUUGGACCAGAUGGUCACUAAUGGUUAUUUCAGCUCAACAUCUGCUAAUUUUCUAAAAACUGAAGAAAUGAGCUUGAGGUGUGUUUUGGGGCAGUCUCGCAAGACAGAGAUAUGAGGAGGGUCUCCAGAACAUCAGAUGGGAGCCUUUGGGAGUUAAGGUAAGGCCCAAGUUAUAUUCCUGCCCAUCUCUGCCUUCUUCUUCCCCCAACCUUGCUGUCCUCAUGGCCACCCUAUUGUAAUAUGCUUGGCCUGAUCCCCAGCUAGAUCAAAUUCAUUUAGGAAACUUUGAUACCUGAGCUGUGGCUCUGGAAACUAUGUCUCCAGAGGCAACACAGUUCACCAAAUCUAAUCGCUGGUGUCAAUUGGUAUUUAAAAAAUUAGAUACAGUUUCAACCAAAAGCAGAUGCUUGACAUUUUAGCAGGACAUUAUCACAUUUAUGAAUUCUGAUAUGCCUGAAAAACAAUUUCCUAAAGAGUUUAAGAGACCCUUCUUUGUUACUUUUAUGAACCCUGAGACAUAGUUAGCUACUCAUCCCCUAGUAGUUCCUGACUCUGCAAAACAUGUGGGAUGAUGGCAAGAAUGAGACUUGAAAUGGGAAGAAAAGCCCCAUGUUCAAAUGUUCCUUCCUUCUCCUGCUAAUUUGUUACUUAAGUGUCGGUUUCUUCACAGUGGAAAUAGAUCUUGUAGAAUGCACCUGUAGGAUGCCAUAUUGGAAGUAAGACAAGCCAAACACAGCCUCACGCCUAGCUCUGGAACAGAACUGCUAGCUCUGCUGCCUAUCACUCUCCUGUUCUCUGACCAUAAAACGAUUCAUUGUGGGCUGGGCACAGUGGCUCACACCUGUGAGCACUUUAGGAGGUUGAGGUGGGCAGAUCACUUGAGGUCAGGAAUUCGAGACCAGCCUGGCCAACAUGGAGAAACCGUCUGUACUAAAAUUACAGAAAUUAGCCAGGCAUUGUGAUGUGUGCCUGUAAUCCCAGCUACUCAGGAGGCUAAGGCAGGGAUUGCUUGAACCCAGGAAGCAGAGGCUGCAGUGAGCUAUCAUUGUGCCACUGCACUCCAGCCUGGGCGACAGAACAAGACUCUAUCUCAAAAAACAAACAAACAAAAAAAAAAAAACAAGGCCCAAUGAGGUGGCUGACACCUAUAAUCCCAGCACUUUGGGAGGCCAAGCCGGGCGGAUCACCUGAGGUUAGGAGUUUGAGACCAGCCUGACCAACAUGGAGAAACCCUGUCUCUACUUAAAAUAGAAAAAUUAGCCAGGUGUGGUGGCACAUGCCUGUAAUCCCAGCUACUUGGGAAGCUGAGGCAGAGAAUUGCUUGAACCUGGGAGGCGAAGGUUCCAGUGAGCUGAGAUUUCACCAUUGCACUCCAGCCUCGGCAACAAGAAUGAAACUCAGUCUCAAAAAAAAAUGAAUUCAUUGUCACUAUGAAAAAAUAAAAAUAAAUAAGUGAAUAGUAAAUAGUAAUUACUGUAAUGCUGGCAUCUGUAUUCUAACAAUGUUAAUAUUCAGUUCAUAUGUUUUCAGCCUUAGCAGAGAUUUUUUAAAUACUUGGAAUUGAGCUAUAUGAACAAUGUUUUCCCCUUCAUAUCUCAUGAGGAAUAUUUGUCCAUAUUACUGAGACCAUGUAUGAGCAUUUCUGUCAACCAGCUACGUCUCAGCCCACAUACAAAUGUGUCAUCAUCGAUGUGAUCAUUCUCCUAUUGUUGAACCUUUCAUUUUCACGUUUUAAAAAUCUUGGCUUGGCCAGAUGCAAUGGCUCAUGCCUGUAAUCCCAGCACUUUGGGAGGCUGAGGUGGGCAGAUCACGAGGUCAGGAAGUCAAGACCAUCCUGGCCAACAUGGUAAAACCUUAUCUCAACUAAAAAUACAAGUUAUCCAGGUGUGGUGGCAGGUGCCUGUAAUCCCAGCUACUCAGGAGGCUGAGGCAGGAGAAACACUUGAACCCGGGAGGCAGAGGUUGCAGUGAGCCGAGAUCACGCCAUUGCACUCCAGCCUGGUGACAGAGCAAGACUCCAUCAAAAAAAAAAAAAAAAAAAAAAAAAAUCUUGGCUUUUAUGAAUAACUCUAUAAGACGUUUCUUGUAAAUAAAUCUCUGUUCAUACUUUUUAUUAUUAUUAUUAUUAUUUGAGAUGGAAUCUCGCUCUGUCACCAGGCUAGAAUGCAGUGGUGCGAUCUCGGCUCAAUGCAACCUCCGCCUCCUGGGUUCAAGAAAUUCUGCCUCAGCCUCCCGAGUAGUUGGGACUACAGGCACGUGCCACCACGCCCAGCUAAUUUUUUGUAUUUUUUAGUAGAGACGGGGUUUCACCAUGUUGGCCAGGAUGUUCUUGAUCUCUUGACCUUAUGAUCCACCCACCUUGCCCUCCCAAAGUGCUAGGAUUACAGGCGUGAGCCACCGCACCCUGCCAUACUUAUUAUUUUCAGACCUGUAUGAAGCAUAUUAUUCAGUCAGACCUAAAGCUUUGUUGUCCUGUGGUUUUCCAGAAGAUAAGGCCAGUCAGUGUUCUCGCACCCUGGAGGUUGUCUGGUAACUAAGUUGAGCACAGUAACUUAAAAGCUUUGUUAAAAAUACAGGGCAAAAAUGGAUAGCUCCUUGUCACUUUUAAUUUGCCUCCCUCUGAAUCUUCUGCUGUGUUUAACUGACAAUGUUAUAGGCUGGCAUCGUUCCCAGUUUGGCCAAAAAGAAUCGGUCUCCUGGUCAGGAAGGUUUUUUCCCUACAAAUUCAUGGAAUGACCGAGGGACCUUCCAGAUGCAUGUAGUUAAAAGAAUAAUCUGUCUGUUCUGCACAGCACACUUCCUGUCCACAUUUAGAAUGUUUAUGCUGAGAAAGCACCACUGUUUAUAGUCAAUUGACCAAGCUCAGGAAAUGGUUCAUCAAAUUGGCUAGCCAUUUAAUUUUCUUGGGAUACAGUUUUCAUGAUUAUGCAGCUCCUAAAUUUAAUAAGUCUGACUACACACAAAUUUUCUUUCUUUUCUUUUCUCUUUUUUUGAGACAGAGUCUUGCUCUGUCGUCCAGGCUGGAGUGCAGUGGUAUAAUCUCGGUUCACUGUAACCUCCGCCUCCCGGGCUCAAGCAAUUCUUGUGCCUCGGCCUUCUGAGUAGCUGGGAUUACAGGCAUGCACCACCAUACUGACUAAUUUUUGUAUUUUUAGUAGAGAUGAGGUUUCACCAUGUUGGCCAGGCUGGUCUUGACCUAAGGUGAUCUGACCUAA